UAACGGGAGCCUCAGGAAGAUGUCAAUCAAUUAGUGUGGACAUGCCCACACAGUCCUGAGUAGAGGUCUGAUCAACCAGACGAACUGGAGACACCUGAGUGGGUGUUCAGAGGCUUUAGAAAGAACUAGGGAUUCUAUUUUAAAAAUAGUUUGAUUGUACGUUUCAUUACUUUAUUCCUGAUACAGUGAACGUCACUUUGACUAAAGUGAGUGUAGAAAACGUUCCUGUGCUCUUCUCAUGGAGUGAACCGAUGACGUGAAACCAGCAGGCAGAGGCUGAGGCACUGCAGCAGGCCCUUCAUCCACAGACAGUGAGCCAGGAAGAGCAGCAGCAUGCAGGCGCCGGCCGAGCAGUAGACGCCGAUCACCGUGCUCUCCUCCGGCAGGAAACACUUGGACAGAGCGUAGCUGCCGGGGGACACCGACGCCUGGGAGGGACGAGACGAGGAAGAUCAAUGGGUUAGAGAUAUUCAUAUUGCAAUAUGGACAAGAAGAGCCCAGAAAACGUUCCUUCAUAUGGUCAAAAGCUCCAGAACCACCACUAAAUGGACCUUGUUGUGAUUGUUUUCGCAAUUCCUGUUCAAGAAUGAACUCCCCCACACUACCAUCACAUCACAUCAUCUGUGAAUAACAGAGCAGGACUCACCAGGAUGAAGCUGGGGUUGUUUCUGUUCCUCCAGCUGAAGGACGGCACGCUGAUUUCUGGGUACUUGUUGUCAUG